rnacentral:tRNA from 1 species
GAGGAUGUAGUUCAGUGGUAGAGUAUGUGUUUAGCAUGUACAAGGCCCUGGGUCUGAUCCCCAGCACUACCA